GACACGAUGCUCCUGGGUAGAUACUCCUUAGAACUGUGUUGGAGCCAGGAGAGCCCUAAUUAGGCACUGCAGCCACCAGGAGGACCCGUCUGUCCCUAAAGCCCACCGGAGGUCCCAGCACAGAAAAGCCCCGGAUUGGAUCCUCUGGUAAGUCCUGGAGAGUGUUGGAGGUUGGUGGAGUCCCACACCCUGUGUGACCCCCAGGGGACGGAAGCACCUCUAUAUUUAAAAAGAGCUGAGAAGUAAGAAGUGUUUAGUCACCAGCUGGAGACUAACGGAUGCUUAUCUGACUACAUCCACCACG
rnacentral:other from 1 species